AUCAUCCCAGUAAGGGUUGAGAUCUUUGUGCUUAGUUGAAGUUCUUUGGCGCUGCCCCUCGAAUUCCACUUCCACAAAGGGGGAGGCGCUGCCGUGGCCGUCUUUGGCCAUGAGGUUGCUGGCGUCGAGAACCUCCACCACCAGCUUCGCCAUUUUGAAAAUCAGGUAGAGAAAAAAGACAAGAGGAAUGGAGGAAGAAAAUGGUUGGUUAUGAGCAAGAAGACAUGAACAUGCGGGAUGAAAGAGAUUUUAUGAAGUGAAGGACAACCGGCAUGCACAAGCAUUCUGGAAUCACGAGUCCCUUGCAGAUGAGGAAUCCCUUCCAAUGGGUGAAAAGGCAGCUCGGACCAAACCACAGUGAGGUUCAAAUGGAUGUGGUCAAAUACGGGCAAGGGGGAUCGCGGGAAAUCUCUUUCAAGGCCAGAAGCUCAGCGAAUUACAAAGAGUAUGACGAUAUUGAGGAGGCACGUCCUGAAAAGAGGAGGGAUGUGCAAUCAUUGAAGUUACCCAAUGGCUCAGGUCGUGGAUCUCGUGGUGGGGGUGGUGGCGGCCGUGGGAGGAGCAGCAGGGGAAGGGGCCAUUGAUGAGAGCAAGAACUUAACUGUGUUGUGCUCUAUGUUGAAACUUUAAUUUUGGUAGGCGUGUAACUUUUUUAUUUUCCUUUUUAAUGACAAUGUAUGUCAAAUAUUGUGUUGCUUUGCUUUUGAUGGG